CCCAACAACAAUAUACGUACGUACAACAAGACCGACCCGCUCCACCCUCGCGUCUUCUUCCUCAACAGAAAUCGCAAGAGCCCAUACAAUAUACAUGCCCGAAGACUCUUCUCCAGCAUACGAUUAACAUCAAUAGCUACUCCAAAUGGCGCAACAGUACACCUGCGCAGCCGCGUCCCGUCCUCUUUUCCCCCUUUUGCGGAAGUCACAUUUUUUCCCCAUCUUUCACUGUUAGUCUUGGAAAAGAGAAAAGGAAAAUCCUAAUUUUCUCUUGAAAUUUUCCAACAGAUUUGCCCUAAAUCUUUCCCUAUAAAUACCCCUCUACACUCAGAAAUGAGGGACAAGAGUUGAGCUUGGCUUUAAAGCAAUUGUCACUUCUACACUUCAAAUUUUUAUAUCUAACUUUCUAAUUCUAUGUUUUGAGAAGAUCGACGCUAGAAUUUUCUUGGUUUACUGUUCAUAUUCGAAACUCGUGGUAGAAGAAUCACCCCUCUCAAGAUCGUUUGUCCCCGUCACUGCUCACCAAAAGGUCGAAUUUCUUUCGAGUCAGCCCCGUCAAUGUUCGAUGAUGCUGGAAGCUGAAACAGGCCCCGAACAGUCCAAAACUGGUUGUAUGCUCCCUGUAUACAUCAGUAUACACUAGUAUACACCAUGAAAAUAUUGAUAUACAGGUCAAAAUGCAACAAACAAUAGACAAAAACAAAGAUACAGGUUGGAGGCGUCAAGGUGGACUGUACACAGUCGAUAUAUGGGUCUAUAUACAAGAAGUGGUGCUAAUAUGCAAGCUGUAUAUACUGAUAUACGGCUUUUGUAUACAAAAAUGGGUUUUGAUUAAAACCCCAAAAGUAGCAGCAAAUUUGGCUAAGAAAGUCCAAGUUCAUCUUCUCCUUUAUUCCCUUAACUUACUUAAUUGUGAUUAUUUAUUGCUUUGUGUUUUUUGUUAACUCUAACUUUAAAUAACUUGAUUAAAUUCCCCAAAAGAUGAAUC